rnacentral:rRNA from 1 species
CACGUAGGCACCAAGCGUUGUCCGGAUUUAUUGGGCGUAAAGAGCUCGUAGGCGGUUCGGUAAGUCGGGUGUGAAAACUUUGGGCUCAACCCAAAGCGUGCACUCGAUACUGCCAUGACUAGAGUUCGGUAGGGGAGUGGGGAAUUCCUAGUGUAGCGGUGAAAUGCGCAGAUAUUAGGAGGAACACCGGUGGCGAAGGCGCCACUCUGGGCCGAUACUGACGCUGAGGCACGAAAGCGUGGGGAGCAAACAGG